GACUCUCGCGCAACGGAUAUCUCGGCUCGCAUCGAUGAAGAACGUAGCAAAAUGCGAUACUUGGUGUGAAUUGCAGAAUCCCGUGAACCAUCGAGUUUUUGAACGCAAGUUGCGCCCGAAGCCAUUCGGUGAGGGCACGUCUGCCUGGGCGUCA
rnacentral:rRNA from 11 species